GGAAAGGCGCGCGAUACAGGGUGACAGCCCCGUACACAAAAAUGCACAUGCUGUGAGCUCGAUGAGUAGGGCGGGACACGUGGUAUCCUGUCUGAAUAUGGGGGGACCAUCCUCCAAGGCUAAAUACUCCUGACUGACCGAUAGUGAACCAGUACCGUGAGGGAAAGGCGAAAAGAACCCCGGCGAGGGGAGUGAAAAAGAACCUGAAACCGUGUACGUACAAGCAGUGGGAGCACGCUUAGGCGUGUGACUGCGUACCUUUUGUAUAAUGGGUCAGCGACUUAUAUUCUGUAGCAAGGUUAACCGAAUAGGGGAGCCGAAGGGAAACCGAGUCUUAACUGGGCGUUAAGUUGCAGGGUAUAGACCCGAAACCCGGUGAUCUAGCCAUGGGCAGGUUGAAGGUUGGGUAACACUAACUGGAGGACCGAACCGACUAAUGUUGAAAAAUUAGCGGAUGACUUGUGGCUGGGGGUGAAAGGCCAAUCAAACCGGGAGAUAGCUGGUUCUCCCCGAAAGCUAUUUAGGUAGCGCCUCGUGAAUUCAUCUCCGGGGGUAGAGCACUGUUUCGGCAAGGGGGUCAUCCCGACUUACCAACCCGAUGCAAACUGCGAAUACCGGAGAAUGUUAUCACGGGAGACACACGGCGGGUGCUAACGUCCGUCGUGAAGAGGGAAACAACCCAGACCGCCAGCUAAGGUCCCAAAGUCAUGGUUAAGUGGGAAACGAUGUGGGAAGGCCCAGACAGCCAGGAUGUUGGCUUAGAAGCAGCCAUCAUUUAAAGAAAGCGUAAUAGCUCACUGGUCGAGUCGGCCUGCGCGGAAGAUGUAACGGGGCUAAACCAUGCACCGAAGCUGCGGCAGCGACGCUUAUGCGUUGUUGGGUAGGGGAGCGUUCUGUAAGCCUGCGAAGGUGUGCUGUGAGGCAUGCUGGAGGUAUCAGAAGUGCGAAUGCUGACAUAAGUAACGAUAAAGCGGGUGAAAAGCCCGCUCGCCGGAAGACCAAGGGUUCCUGUCCAACGUUAAUCGGGGCAGGGUGAGUCGACCCCUAAGGCGAGGCCGAAAGGCGUAGUCGAUGGGAAACAGGUUAAUAUUCCUGUACUUGGUGUUACUGCGAAGGGGGGACGGAGAAGGCUAUGUUGGCCGGGCGACGGUUGUCCCGGUUUAAGCGUGUAGGCUGGUUUUCCAGGCAAAUCCGGAAAAUCAAGGCUGAGGCGUGAUGACGAGGCACUACGGUGCUGAAGCAACAAAUGCCCUGCUUCCAGGAAAAGCCUCUAAGCAUCAGGUAACAUCAAAUCGUACCCCAAACCGACACAGGUGGUCAGGUAGAGAAUACCAAGGCGCUUGAGAGAACUCGGGUGAAGGAACUAGGCAAAAUGGUGCCGUAACUUCGGGAGAAGGCACGCUGAUAUGUAGGUGAAGUCCCUCGCGGAUGGAGCUGAAAUCAGUCGAAGAUACCAGCUGGCUGCAACUGUUUAUUAAAAACACAGCACUGUGCAAACACGAAAGUGGACGUAUACGGUGUGACGCCUGCCCGGUGC
rnacentral:rRNA from 1 species